rnacentral:rRNA from 1 species
AAAGGAAUAGACGGGCACCCGCACAAGCGGUGGAGCAUGCUGUUUAAUUCGAAGAUACGCGAAGAACCUUACCUGGGCUUGACAUCCCGCUGACCGUCUUAGAAAUAAGAUUUUCCCUUCGGGGACAGCGGUGACAGGUGGUGCAUGGUUGUCGUCAGCUCGUGUCGUGAGAUGUUCGGUUAAGUCCGAUAACGAGCGCAACCCCUAUCUUUAAUUGCUAACAUUAAGUUGAGAACCUUAAAGAUACUGCCGGUGACAAACCGGAGGAAGGUGGGGAUGACGUCAAAUCAUCAUGCCCCUUACGUCCAGGGCUACAGGCGUGCUACAAUGGCUGGUAUAAUAAGAUGCAAUGUCGCGAGACGGAGCAAAUCUCCAAAGCCAGUCCCAGUCCGGAUUGGAGUCUGCAACUCGACUCCAUGAAGUUGGAAUCGCUAGUAAUCCCGAAUCAGAAUGUCGGGGUGAAUACGUUCCCGGGUGUUGUACACACCGCCCGU